UUUCAAGCGAGUGGCGAACGGGUGAGUAACACGUGGAUAACCUGCCUCAAGGCUGGGGAUAACAUUUGGAAACAGAUGCUAAUACCGAAUAAAACUUAGUAUCGCAUGAUAUCAAGUUAAAAGGCGCUACGGCGUCACCUAGAGAUGGAUCCGCGGUGCAUUAGUUAGUUGGUGGGGUAAAGGCUUACCAAGACGAUGAUGCAUAGCCGAGUUGAGAGACUGAUCGGCCACAUUGGGACUGAGACACGGCCCAAACUCCUACGGGAGGCUGCAGUAGGGAAUCUUCCACAAUGGGCGCAAGCCUGAUGGAGCAACGCCGCGUGUGUGAUGAAGGCUUUCGGGUCGUAAAGCACUGUUGUAUGGGAAGAAAUGCUAAAAUAGGGAAUGAUUUUAGUUUGACGGUACCAUACCAGAAAGGGACGGCUAAAUACGUGCCAGCAGCCGCGGUAAUACGUAUGUCCCGAGCGUUAUCCGGAUUUAUUGGGCGUAAAGCGAGCGCAGACGGUUGAUUAAGUCUGAUGUGAAAGCCCGGAGCUCAACUCCGGAAUGGCAUUGGAAACUGGUUAACUUGAGUGUUGUAGAGGUAAGUGGAACUCCAUGUGUAGCGGUGGAAUGCGUAGAUAUAUGGAAGAACACCAGUGGCGAAGGCGGCUUACUGGACAACAACUGACGUUGAGGCUCGAAAGUGUGGGUAGCAAACAGGAUUAGAUACCCUGGUAGUCCACACCGUAAACGAUGAAUACUAGGUGUUAGGAGGUUUCCGCCUCUUAGUGCCGAAGCUAACGCAUUAAGUAUUCCGCCUGGGGAGUACGACCGCAAGGUUGAAACUCAAAGGAAUUGACGGGGACCCGCACAAGCGGUGGAGCAUGUGGUUUAAUUCGAAGCAACGCGAAGAACCUUACCAGGUCUUGACAUCCUUUGAAGCUUUUAGAGAUAGAAGUGUUCUCUUCGGAGACAAAGUGACAGGUGGUGCAUGGUCGUCGUCAGCUCGUGUCGUGAGAUGUUGGGUUAAGUCCCGCAACGAGCGCAACCCUUAUUGUUAGUUGCCAGCAUUCAGUUGGGCACUCUAGCGAGACUGCCGGUGACAAACCGGAGGAAGGCGGGGACGACGUCAGAUCAUCAUGCCCCUUAUGACCUGGGCUACACACGUGCUACAAUGGCGUAUACAACGAGUUGCCAACCUGCGAAGGUGAGCUAAUCUCUUAAAGUACGUCUCAGUUCGGACUGCAGUCUGCAACUCGACUGCACGAAGUCGGAAUCGCUAGUAAUCGCGGAUCAGCACGCCGCGGUGAAUACGUUCCCGGGUCUUGUACACACCGCCCGUCACACCAUGGGAGUUUGUAAUGCCCAAA
rnacentral:rRNA from 1 species